GCUAGGCGUUAGCUUUAUUAUUCUACAUAUGGUAGGGGGUCUUUGCCUGCAUAAACGCUCAAUCACUAGCGGCCGGCUACUGAAAAUCCUAUUGUGUUCUCGUUUGUGAGUUUUUAUUUCACAUUAUUUACAUUUGUACUUCUGUGGAAAGUUUCUUUAUUCACCCACGACUAAACACUAGAGUGGACAACCCUGAUAUUUCUAUUUCAUACCUUACUUACUUACUUCAUUCCUGUUGGUUCAAUCACAAUGGCAACAACAUCAAUCAUAAAUGUGAUGAGCUCCCAAUAGUCAAGGUAUCUUCGUCUGCGAUUACGAUGAAUUGGAACCGAUAAAUCCAACGAGAAAUAACUCCUCGUAAAUGUUUGUCUGCUGUUUUGUACCAAAUUAAAUUAUUUCGAAGAGUGUAAAGAUCUUCAAAUACUGUUUAACUAUCCACAAGUAUUCAUUUAUUUUGUUUCUAUGAUUACUACUACAUUUUAAAUACUAAGUAUGAAGAAAGCUUCUUUUGAUCUUGAAAUUUCGCUUUCAACGUAUGUUUUUCCAAUCGUACUUUCUGUUCAGUUCCAUGGAGAAUGGAUAUAGGUACCAAUGCAUAUCAUGUGCAAUAAAUGAUUCAGACAAAUAA